rnacentral:rRNA from 1 species
UGAAGAGUUUGAUCAUGGCUCAGAUUGAACGCUGGCGGCAGGCCUAACACAUGCAAGUCGAACGGUAACAGGAAGCAGCUUGCUGCUUUGCUGACGAGUGGCGGACGGGUGAGUAAUGUCUGGGAAACUGCCUGAUGGAGGGGGAUAACUACUGGAAACGGUGGCUAAUACCGCAUAACGUCGCAAGACCAAAGAGGGGGACCUUCGGGCCUCUUGCCAUCAGAUGUGCCCAGAUGGGAUUAGCUUGUUGGUGAGGUAACGGCUCACCAAGGCGACGAUCCCUAGCUGGUCUGAGAGGAUGACCAGCCACACUGGAACUGAGACACGGUCCAGACUCCUACGGGAGGCAGCAGUGGGGAAUAUUGCACAAUGGGCGCAAGCCUGAUGCAGCCAUGCCGCGUGUAUGAAGAAGGCCUUCGGGUUGUAAAGUACUUUCAGCGGGGAGGAAGGUGUUGUGGUUAAUAACCGCAGCAAUUGACGUUACCCGCAGAAGAAGCACCGGCUAACUCCGUGCCAGCAGCCGCGGUAAU